AGAGUUUGAUCCUGGCUCAGAACGAACGCUGGCGGCGCGUUUUAAGCAUGCAAGUCGAGCGGCAAGGGCCUUCGGGCCCCUAGAGCGGCGGACGGGUGAGUAACACGUGGACAAUCUGCCCCCCGGCCCGGGAUAGCCCAGGGAAACCUGGAUUAAUACCGGAUGAGACGGGACCCGCGAUGGCGGGACCCGGGAAAGGCGCUGCGGCGCCGCCGGGGGAUGAGUCUGCGUCCCAUUAGCUAGACGGCGGGGUAACGGCCCACCGUGGCGACGAUGGGUAGCCGGCCUGAGAGGGUGGACGGCCACAUUGGAACUGAGACACGGUCCAGACUCCUACGGGAGGCAGCAGCUAAGAAUCUUCCGCAAUGGGCGAAAGCCUGACGGAGCGACGCCGCGUGAACGAAGAAGGCCGUGAGGUUGUAAAGUUCUUUUCGGGAGGGGGAACAACCGUGGCAGGGAAUGGCCGCGGGAUGACGUGAAUCCCGGAAUAAGCCCCGGCUAACUACGUGCCAGCAGCCGCGGUAACACGUAGGGGGCGAGCGUUGUUCGGAAUCAUUGGGCGUAAAGGGCGUGCAGGCGGUCGUGCAAGUCCGGCGUGAAAGACCCCGGCCCAACCGGGGGGACGCGCUGGAAACUGCAGGGCUUGAGUACAGGAGGGGAUGCCGGAAUUCCAGGUGUAGGGGUGAAAUCUGUAGAUAUCUGGAAGAACACCAAUGGCGAAGGCAGGCAUCUGGCCAUGUACUGACGCUGAGACGCGAAGGUGCGGGGAGCAAACAGGUUUAGAUACCCUGGUAGUCCGCACAGUAAACGAUGUGCACCAGGUGGCGGGGGGUCGACCCCCGGUACCGUAGCUAACGCAUUAAGUGCACCGCCUGGGGAGUAUGCUCGCAAGGGUGAAACUCAAAGGAAUUGACGGGGGCCCG
rnacentral:rRNA from 1 species